CCUACGGGAGGCAGCAGUAGGGAAUCUUCCACAAUGGGCGAAAGCCUGAUGGAGCAACGCCGCGUGGGUGAAGAAGGUUUUCGGAUCGUAAAACCCUGUUGUUAGAGAAGAAAGUGCGUGAGAGUAACUGUUCACGAUUCGAUGGUAUCUAACCAGCAAGCGACGGCUAACUACGUGCCAGCAGCUGCGGGAAUAUGGAGGUGGCAAGCGUUAUCCGGAUUGAUUGGGCGUAAAGGGAACGCAGGCGGUCUUUUAAGUCUGAUGUGAAAGCCUUCGGCUUAACCGGAGUAGUGCAUUGGAAACUGGGAGACUUGAGUGCAGAAGAGGAGGGUGGAACUCCAGGUGUAGCGGUGAAAUGCGUAGAUAUAUGGAAGAACACCAGUGGCGAAAGCGACUCUCUGGUCUGUAACUGACGCUGAGGUUCGAAAGCGUGGGUAGCAAACAGGAUUAGAUACCCCAGUAGUC
rnacentral:rRNA from 1 species